rnacentral:rRNA from 1 species
AGCGAACGCUGGCGGCAGGCCUAACACAUGCAAGUCGAGCGCCCCGCAAGGGGAGCGGCAGACGGGAGAGUAACACGUGGGAACGUACCCUUCAGUUCGGAACAACCCAGGGAAACUUGGGCUAAUACCGGAUACGUCCGAAAGGAGAAAGAUUUAUCGCCGAAGGAUCGGCCCGCGUCUGAUUAGCUAGUUGGUGGGGUAACGGCCCACCAAGGCGACGAUCAGUAGCUGGUCUGAGAGGAUGAUCAGCCUCACUGGGACUGAGACACGGCCCAGACUCCUACGGGAGGCAGCAGUGGGGAAUAUUGGACAAUGGGCGCAAGCCUGAUCCAGCCAUGCCGCGUGGGUGAUGAAGGCCCUAGGGUUGUAAACUCCUUUCGCCAUUGACGAAGCCCUUUGGGGUGACGGUAGGUGGAGAAGAAGCACCGGCUAACUACGUGCCAGCCGCCGCAGUAAAAC